rnacentral:tRNA from 12 species
UCAUCGGUCGUCUAAUGGCAGGACACGGCACUUUGACUGCCGCAAUCUAGGUUCGACCCCUAGCCGGUGAU